UCCCUGGUGGUCUAGCAGUUCAGGAUCAAGCGCUCUCGCUGCCGUGGCCCCGGUUCGAUUCCCGGGCAGGGAA